rnacentral:lncRNA from 1 species
AUGAACCCUGCGACAUUGCAUCACGGCGAUCGGCUUUCCUUUUGUCUCAUACGUAAUGGUCUCAAAAUAAUAGAUCAUCUUCGUUCAAGCCUCUGAGCCAACCUAUUCGUCUGCUCUAAAACGCAACCGAUUGCCAACAUCGCCACCACGAUUGUUUGAUUCAUUAGUUCAACAAAAGCAAAGACCCAUGCCAUACAUUUGAAGGAUCUAUUUUGUAAAUAGUUAUUGCGAAAAGGUUUAGGCUAUUGUUUAUUAGGGUUCACAACUUUAACAAUGGGGGAUAGAUUGGGAAGAGUACAUAGAGGCGGUUGCACCAGUGUUGAAACACAAACAAGGGUAGCAAGCAUACUAUAAACUUAAGAUUGUAUAAAUUUAAAAUAUUGUGAGUGUCAAAACAAUGGAAUGGAUUAAUAGAUGUAUGCCUUUGAUCUUAUAAACAGAUACACCAAUAAAAGUUGC